rnacentral:rRNA from 1 species
CAGCCGCCGCGGUAAAACGAAGGGGGCUAGCGUUGUUCGGAAUUACUGGGCGUAAUGCGCACGUAGGCGGAUAUUUAGGUCAGGGGUGAAAUCCCAGAGCUCAACUCUGGAACUGCCUUUGAUACCGGGUAUCUUGAGUAUGGAAGAGGUGAGUGGAAUUCCGAGUGUAGAGGUGAAAUUCGUAGAUAUUCGGAGGAACACCAGUGGCGAAGGCGGCUCACUGGUCCAUUACUGACGCUGAGGUGCGAAAGCGUGGGGAGCAAACAGGAUUAGAUACCCCCGUAGUCCCUGUCUCUUAUAC